GACGAACGCUGGCGGCGUGCUUAACACAUGCAAGUCGAACGGAAAGGCCCUGCUUGCAGGGUACUCGAGUGGCGAACGGGUGAGUAACACGUGGGUGAUCUGCCCUGCACUUCGGGAUAAGCCUGGGAAACUGGGUCUAAUACCGGAUAGGAGCCAUUUUUAGAGUGAUGGUUGGACAGUUUUUUCGGUGUAGGAUGAGCUGGCGGCGUAUCAGCUUGUUGGUGGGGUAAUGGCCUACCAAGGCGGCGACGUGUAGCUGGCCUGAGAGGGUGGACGGCCACAUUGAGUCUUAGAGACGGCCGAGACGCCGACGGGUGGCAGCUGGGGGGAAUAUUGCACAAUGGGCGCAAGCCGGAUGCAGCGGGGCCGCGUGGGGGAUGGCAGCCUUCGGGUUGUAAACUCCUUUCGCGAUGGACGAAGCUUUUUGUGACGGUACCUAGAUAAGAAGCACCGGCUAACUACGUG
rnacentral:rRNA from 1 species